ensembl:lncRNA
CGGUAAGUGCAGCCUCUAAUAAGGCCAGAAAGAGAAACUGGAGAGACUUGACUUGAGGAGCCUAAAUAAAGAACUCGGUGCCCAGAAGGUUCCAGGCACUCUGGCUGGGUAGCCGGCAAUCCUGAGAAUCAAGGGAAAUCACAAUGGAGACAAAAUAAACAAAUCGCAGGGGACAGAGAGUGUCCUGGUGCAGACGCUUUCUAGAGAUGAUGCUUUCAGUGCGCGCUUCCCAGCAGCUCUGUGAAGCCCUUGCCUCGUGGAGGAUGGAUGAAGCCUGCCUUCCACUUCAUGCUUUGCCCAGCAUUGACUCUCAGGCUUGGUUUUGACAGUCAGGACUCCUCCCACCGCCCUUUGCUGCAGCAUCCCAGCCAGCAUGCAGAUUCCCAGGGAUCUUUGUCGGUGGUGAUCUCUCUGCCAACGGUGCCUUCUCUUCCUUUCACCCUUCCCAUCCUAUCUCUGCCCCAUCCACACAUCUAUUUUAAAAAAUUUAGAUGUGUUGCAUCUGCCAGGGUUCUUUGGAGGUAAGCAACAGAAAAGGACUCUGGCAAAUCUUUUUGUAACAGAAAAAUAUUCAUUUCCAAGAUUUAGGACAGGUCCCAGAAGUUGCGAGACACUGAACUACUAGGCCUCAGAGAGACAGGAGCUGGGGAAACUGGACUUCUAGCUACCAGGAAGUAAGAAGUCAGAACAACUUGGUGCCAACUAGAGUGACCUCAAGUCACUCUAUCAUGCCUGAAAUUCUCAGGAAAGAACAUCUGAUUGGCCCAGCUUGAGUUCCUCGCCCAACUCAUGACUGAAUCAGGUCAGGUACCAGGACUGUGUGUCCACCAAGACUGCAUGAGGAAGGGAAAGCUGGAGCCCAGAGGAAAAUUUGGUGCAGACACCACCCUUGGUGCACACUUUAUCCCAGACACAGCCUGGAUGGAUGCUAGAGGCUACGGGAUGAACUCUGCAGUUCCUGCUGCAAGUUCCUGCUCCACUAAUAGCCCAGUGGAGGAGGCUGGUUAAAUAGAAAGUACUUGAAAC